rnacentral:tRNA from 1 species
GAGGCUUUGGCUUAAGGUUAAAGUGUCUGAGUUGCAAUCAGAAGAUGUAGUUUUAUAGAUACAGGCCUUC